UGACGGUCCAAUUAGACCAGCUCUUCAAGCCAUGCAGAUCCAGUUGGCACCGGCCCGUAAUCCUUCCACUGCCAGGAGCGGGAGGUGAUCGCUGCUCUGUGAGACCAGCCUCACGCUGUGCCCUCCCCUCUAGGAGCCAGAACACCCAGGUCUUCACUAGGAUGCCUUGGCUCAACUCCUGGCUUGGAACGGGCGGGUCAGAUAAGAGACAGCCUGAACCCGACCUUACGUGCAUAGUCCACGUCCCAUCACUUUAAAGCCCCCACUCAGGUUACAAGCCCGCGUUACCGAGCUCAGCUGGUAAGCAUGUGUCAGGAUUAGGUAUAUAACAUUCAUAUAUUUUUCCUUUCUUUCCGAUGUGGGAUGUUCCUCUCUUACGUGUUCAUUAGGGAAAAAGCUUUGAAUGAGCAAAAAUCUCGGGGCAUAAAAGGUAAUAGAUUCAGGAAGGAGAGGAUUCUCCACUUUCUGGAGAAUCUUGCACUAGGUAAACAACAAGAGAAAUUACAUCAUGAACAAUAACUCACGUUCAUGUGUUACCAAACAGCUUGUAGCUUCAAAUCGCAGGAAACGUGGACGCCACCACGUUGCCAAACGGACUCUAAGUCAAUGCAUACUUUUUUUUUUUUUUCAACGUUGGACAAGUAGAAGUGGUGAAAGGGUUGCAUAAAAUUGAAAGAUGAUUGAUUAAUGAAUCAAUGGCAGCAAAAGUUAAGAUCAUGAACCUUGAUGGCUGUAGAACCAUUGCUUUGAAAACAACUCUUUAAUGUAUAUCUUCGACAAUCAUGAUUUAAUUAAAAACAUGAAAAUGAAGAGAAAAAAAGAAUCUCGUUGUCCAUUUGCUGUCAAACUAUGCUGUUCGAAACUCCAGGAGUAGCCUCUUACAUAAGAGAUAACCCUAAAACCAAUAUGGCUGUAACACCAGCAUAAACAGAAAAAAUGGAAGUUAAACCUCACAUUCCUGUGAAGGCCUUCUUCCCACUACAUGGAAAUAUACUACAAAUGAAAUUCCACUAUUUCUGCAAGAAAAUGCCAGUAUUUUAAAGUAAAUAAGAGAGAAACUUUGUUUAGAUCUAGAAAAACCUUAAUUUUCCUAUUAUUAACUAGAACUAAAUAGUGUGGUGUUUUUACUAUGCCCUGCCUCAAUUGUUCAUCCUCUUAUAUUUUACUGUAGAUAGACUAUGUAAAAUUUUAUAUUUUUUUUUUGUACUCGAAUUGUUUUUGGGCAAUUUAGUCUUAAUUAAAAAACAAUUGAUUUUAAAUUCUUAUGAAAAGAUGGGGUUGGAAGAGGGGAGAAUAAAAUGAAAAACACGGCAAACAUGAGUGACGAGCUAUAAGUUUCCAAUUCUAUUUUGGUACAAAAAAAUUAUUUUUGUUAUUUUUUCAUAUUUUUAUUAUUUUAAUUAAUGCUUCUUUUUUAAAAAAAAAAAAAAACUUAAUUAUUUGUACAUUGAUACUCCUCUUUUUUAUUAUGUUUAGAAAGCCUCUUUUAGAUGAAGGUGAUUUUUAGUUAUGUGUUUAAUUUUUGAAAAUAUUUUUCUAAUUCAUCUAUGAUAUAUAUUUUUUUAUCUUUUUUAUAGAUGAACUAUAUUUUUAAAAAUAAAAAAUAUUAAUUUUCAGAUGAUAUUUUCAAUAUGUGUAGCCUUGUAUAUUAUUCAUGUUCUCCUUUUAUUUUAUUCAAUCAAUUUAAUAUGUUUGUCUAUUUUUAUUAUCAUUUGAUUAAAUAAAAAAUAUUUUAAUAAAUAAAAAUUAGCAAACAUGAUCGGGUUGAAGUCCCGUUUUACGAGAUUAAAUAUCUUAAUCUAAAUCUGCUACGAUUUUUCUAGUUUUAUGUUUAGAUGUUGUUAAUUAUUAUUUAUUAGAGUACAUAGUUUUCAAUUUAUUUAAUUAUAUCCGUGAAUAAAUUUUUUGAAUUGCAUAUACAUUUUUUUAUUUAUAAAAAUACAUAGAGAAACUUGUAUAUAAAAAAUAAAAAUAUUUAUUCAUGGACAAGUACAAGUUACAUAACUAGUGAUAAUCAUAAAACAUGUCAUGAUGCCAUGGUGGCACUCACUGUAUAUGGUCAAAGACAAAAAAAUGAAGCCAUUUUCAUUAGAUUAUGAUUUGAUUGACAAAGGAAUCUUUUUUGGCUGACUGGUACUAUCUCAGGCAGCAGUCCAUUUUCUUCCACCUUCCACUGAGUCACUGACAGCUGAUGUGCCAUGCUCAUUUCGGGUAGUUGGUAUAAAAACAAAAAUCAAAAACUUAAUCGAACCGCUAUGCCAAAUGGACUCUGAACCAUGAAUUGGGUCACCUGUUACGUCAUUGCUAGUUUUAAACCGCUAUGUUGAACAUAUAAACAAAAAAAAUGAUAAAAGUGAUGGUUCAAUUAGAUCAGCCCAUCAGGCCAUGCGGAUCCAGGUGGCACCGGCCCGUAAUCCUUCCACUGCCAGGAGCGGGAAGUGAUCGCUGCUCUGUGAGACCAGCCUCACGCUGUGCCCUCCCCUCUAGGAGCCACGACACCCAGGUCUUCACUAGGAUGCCUUGGCUCAACUCCUGGCUUGGAACGGGCGGGCCAGAUAAGAAACAGCCUGAACCCGACCUUACGUGCAUAGUCCACGUCCCAUCACUUUAAAGCCCCCACUCGGGUUACAAGCCCGCGUUACCGAGCUCAGCUGGUAAGCGUGUGUCAGGGUUAGUUUUAUAAAGUUCAAAUAUUG
rnacentral:lncRNA from 1 species